rnacentral:ncRNA from 2 species
CGCGUGGUGUCUGGCAAAACAGGGCUGGAUAGCGACGCGGCCUUAACUGAGGU